rnacentral:lncRNA from 1 species
UAUACUAGGAAUAAAGGAAAAGUAACUUGCAGAAAGUAAGAGAAAGCAUUCAUCAUUCUCCUAAUCCAAGCAGAAGAGGAAAUAGAAGCCUUCAGAUGACAGCCAGACAGCCUAUCAGAUUUUCUCCCAUCAUGGGUGUCUCUGGAACAUAACUCCCGUG